AAUUUCCCCACCAAAAAUAUCAUUUUUCACCAAAAUAUAAUAUUUUCUCUCAAAGAAAUGUUCAUUUUUCCUUGGGGCAUUCGACAAUUAUCCAAUUUGCACCAUGUACAACGAAUUCGCGCUCUCUCUCUCCAGACGAACACACAACAUCUGGGAAUCCCAGUUAUUCUAAAUAUAGCUCUUAAAUAACGUCAUGUAAACUGGGCAACUAAUCGUAAUAAUCAUGUGACUAUUUUACUGGAUACCGGUCUUGCGCGAGAAGGGUGUUUCGUCAAUUAAUUACCGGAAACCAGUCGAAUUUUCAUCCGGGCUAUGUGCAAGCCGAGGUAUAAACGUGAAAACAGAAAAAAAUGUCUCACAAUUAGCGUUCUUACACAAACAAAAUAAAACAUUCGAACUCGGGAGAUACUGAACGCAUCGAGGCAUUUUUUAAGAAAGAAUCAUCGAAAACCGUUAUAACCCAGCAGGAUUCCGAGGUAAUCAACAUCGAACAUUGUGAAAGUGAAAGUAGACAAUCGGCAGCUGCCGCUCCUUUCCCUUCCAAUACUGUAGCAAAUCAAGAUCGUCAACCCAUUCAUCAUGAAAUUGAAAUCACAAAAUUGACAUCGUCCCCCGGCCCCAGUACAAAAAUAUAGUUGAAAACAUUUCCCAUGACACAGAACAAAUCGGUUUAAAAAAAUAUAUAAUGCAAUGCUUUUGGAGAAUUAUCAAUUUUUGAUUUCCAUACUUGAAGAUAACAAUCUUUUAUUCGUGUUUUGAACAGAUGUAUAAAAUUGUCUUCAUGCCCAACACCUUGACUAAAUCCAUAACUAAAUAGUAAUUCUCUGAUAUGACUAGCCCAUGUCCUUCUACCUGCAUCAUCUAACUCUUUUUACCUAUUAUAACACUGUUAAGGAUAUCUAUGGUUUCCAUACGGGUAAUUUUCAACCAGAACUUGAUGCAAUUUGGGAUAUAUGUUAUACAUAAAGGAAGUCUAUCACAUUCUCCUAAAGCUAAGAUGGCCCGGUUGCUCAAAGCAUCGUUAAGUCUUAAUGGACCGUUAAAUGAUAACGGACCUGUUAAAAUCUGGGUUAGCGUUAACAUUGGGUUGCUCAAUAUAACGCUGGCUUUUAACGGCCAGUUUAACGUCAGUUUCUGCCUUUAGCUUUAAUUGAGGUUUAAAGCACAAUUAAACAGUUAACGCUAGGUUUCAAAAUGGCUGCUAUAGCCGUUCUGCCAUUUAGGAAACCAAAGGAAUUUCGAUUGUCACAUCAUCUUGAUGAAUUAACUAGUGAAGAGUUUAUUGCACGCUAUCGUUUUUCUAAGAAUGGAGUCUAUUUCUUGGAAAAUCUUCUUAAGGACGAUUUGCAACGGCAAACAAACAGAAACCAUGCGCUGACAUCAAUCCAACAAAUCCUCAUAACAUUGAGAUUUUUUGGUACUGGAGCAUUUUAUUCAGUCAUUGGAGACACUCUAUGAUUCCACAAAUGUACGGUAUCUAGAGUUGUUGAAAAUGUAACGGAUGCCAUCAUCAAGCACUUGCACGAGUUCGUUGUGUGGCCAUCACCAGCGGAGAAGGAAAGAGUUAAACAAGGCUUUUAUGCAGUUGCUGGAUUCCCGAAUGUAAUUAGCUGCAUAGAUGGAAAACACAUCCGCAUUCAGGCACCUCAUGAUGAUGAAGCUUCAUAUGUCAAUUGGAAAGGCUUUCACGGCAUAAAUGUCCAAGCUGUCUGUGAUCAUCAAGGGAAAUUAACAAGUGUCAAUGCCAGUUGGCCAGGGUCAUGCCAUGACAGCCACAUCUUCAGGACGUCGGGUCUCUGUGCAAAGCUGGAGCGGGAGCAUAAAAACUUUGCAGAUGGUGUGCUGUUAGGAGAUAGUGGUUACCAAUACAAAGUGUACAUGAUAACUCCUUUCCUGGCGGCGGAUUCUGUGGCAAAGGAAAGGUAUCAGCAGGCCAAAACCCGGACACGAGCAGUCAUUGAAAAAAGCUUUGGGAGACUCAAGCGUAGAUUUGCUGUUCUACACUCUGAGGUUAGAUUGAAGCCUGCAAAGAUUUGCAAGAUAACAACAGCAUGCGUGAUACUGUACAAUAUUUGCAUCAAACUCAAUGAGCCUGACAUUGGGGAUUCUGAUGAAAAUCAAGACAAUAAUGAUGCAGUAUUCAAUCUUGCGAUGAAUGGGAAUGGAAGCGGGACACACAUACGUGAAUACAUUGUGAAUAGAUAUUUCACAUAAUGGAAAAAAAUUGUUUCUCGAAUUUAUGUAAGGACAUUAAAUAUAAAGGGUAUAAUCUAACACAAUUAUUGCUAAACAACAUUUAAAAUAAUCAAUGUUAAUCAUUUUGUAUUCAAUAAAGCACUGAGGCAACUAAGUCAAUGUC